rnacentral:rRNA from 1 species
UAAGUUUGAUCCGGCCUCAGACGAACGGCUGGGCGGCGUGCCUAAUACAUGCAAGUUGAGCAAUGAAGAUUGGUGCUUGCACCAAAAUUUGAAGAGCAGCGAACGGGUGAUGUAACGCUGGGGAAUCUGCCUUUAGCGGGGGACAACAUUUGGAAACGAAUGCUAAUACCGCAUAACAACUUUUAAACACAAGUUUAAUUUUGAAAGAAUGCAAAUGCAUCACUCAAAGAUGAUCCGCCGUUGUUUAGCUAGUGGGGAGGUAAAAGGCUCACCAAAGGCGAUGAUACAUAGCCGACCUGAGAAGGGAUGAUCGGCCACCAAUUGGGACUGAAACACGCCCAAACUCCUACGGGAGGGCAGCAGUAGGGAAUCUUCGGCAAUGGACGAAAGUCUGACCGAGCAUACGCCGCGUGGAGUGAAGAAGUUCGGAUCGAAAACUCUGCUUGUAGAGAAGAACGUUGGUGAGAGUGGAAAGCUCAUCAAGUGACGGUAACUACCCAGAAAGGGACGGCUAACCUACGGCAGCAAGGCCCGGUAAUACGUAGUCCCGAGGCGGUUGUCCGGAAUUUAUUGGGCGUAAGCGAAGCCAGGUGUUAUUAAGUCUGGUGUAAAGGCAGUGGGCUCAACCCAUUGAUGGCAUUGGAAACUGGUAAGACUUGAGUGCAGGAGAAAGGAGAGUGGAAUCCAAUGUGUAGCGGUGAAAUGCGUAGAUAUAUGGAGGAACCCGGUGGCGAAAAGCGGCCUUCUCUGGCCCUGUAACUGACACGUGAGGCCUCGAAAGCGUGGGGAAGCAAACAGGAUUAGAUACCCUGGUUUAGUCCACCGCCACGUAAACCGAUGAAGUGCUAGAUGUAGGGAGCUAUAAGUUCUCCUGUAUCGCAGCUAACGCAAUAACCUCCGCCUGGGGAGUACGACCGCAAGGUUAAACUCAAAGAAUUGAACGGGGGCCCCGCACAAAGCGGUGGAGCAUGUGUGUUUAAUUCGAAAGCAACGCGAAGACCUUACAGUUUGAAUACUCGUGGCUUAUCCUAGAGAUAGGAAGGCCGUUCGGGACACGGAUACAGGGGUGCAUGGUUGCUCACUUCGUGUCGUGAGAUGUGGGUUAAGCCGCAACGAGCGCACCCCUAUUGUAAGUUACCAUCAUAAAGUGCACCUAAACGAAACUGCCGUGAUAAACCGAGAAGGGGGAGACGUCAAAUCAUCAUGCCCCUUAUGACCUGGCUACACAACUGCUACAAGUGGAUGGUACAACGAUUCGCGAGACAGAUUUAGCUAAUCUAUCUCUCUCAACAACAACAACGGAGAGGAGAAAAAGAGAGUAAUAUAAACUCACGGUCUCCGACUCGUUUACCAUCCAUUGUAUCACGUGUGUAGCCCGAGUCCAUAAGGCAUAAGAUUACCGUCAUCCCCACCUUCCUCCGUAUCACCGGCA